rnacentral:rRNA from 1 species
CGGCGGACGGGUGAGUAAUGCCUAGGAAUCUGCCUGGUAGUGGGGGACAACGUUUCGAAAGGAACGCUAAUACCGCAUACGUCCUACGGGAGAAAGCAGGGGACCUUCGGGCCUUGCGCUAUCAGAUGAGCCUAGGUCGGAUUAGCUAGUUGGUGAGGUAAUGGCUCACCAAGGCGACGAUACGUAACUGGUCUGAGAGGAUGAUCAGUCACACUGGAACUGAGACACGGUCCAGACUCCUACGGGAGGCAGCAGGA